AGAGUUUGAUCAUGGCUCAGGAUGAACGCUAGCGGCAGGCUUAAUACAUGCAAGUCGAACGGGAUUCGGGGUAGCAAUACUUUGAUGAGAGUGGCGCACGGGUGCGUAACGCGUAUGCAACCUACCUUUAACAGGGGAAUAGCCCCGAGAAAUCGGGAUUAAUACUCCGUAACAUUGCGGUGUGGCAUCACACUGCAAUUAAAGAUUUAUCGGUUAAAGAUGGGCAUGCGUGACAUUUGCUAGUUGGUGAGGUAACGGCUCACCAAGGCAACGAUGUCUAGGGGUCCUGAGAGGGUUAUCCCCCACACUGGUACUGAGACACGGACCAGACUCCUACGGGAGGCAGCAGUAAGGAAUAUUGGUCAAUGGGCGCAAGCCUGAACCAGCCAUGCCGCGUGCAGGAAGACGGCCCUAUGGGUUGUAAACUGCUUUUAUCAGGGAAUAAACCCCCGCUCGUGAGCGGGGCUGAAGGUACCUGAAGAAUAAGCAUCGGCUAACUCCGUGCCAGCAGCCGCGGUAAUACGGAGGAUGCAAGCGUUAUCCGGAUUCAUUGGGUUUAAAGGGUGCGCAGGCGGAUUGGUAAGUCAGGGGUGAAAUCCCACAGCUCAACUGUGGAACUGCCUUUGAUACUGUCAGUCUAGAGUAUAGUUGAAGUUGGCGGAAUGUGUCAUGUAGCGGUGAAAUGCUUAGAUAUGACACAGAACACCGAUCGCGAAGGCAGCUAGCUAAGCUAUAACUGACGCUCAUGCACGAAAGCGUGGGGAUCAAACAGGAUUAGAUACCCUGGUAGUCCACGCUGUAAACGAUGAUUACUCGAUGUUGGCGAUACACAGUCAGCGUCUGAGCGAAAGCAAUAAGUA
rnacentral:rRNA from 1 species